rnacentral:rRNA from 1 species
CCUACGGAGGGCAGCAGUGAGGAAUAUUGGUCAAUGGGCGCUAGCCUGAACCAGCCAAGUAGCGUGAAGGAAGACGGCCCUAUGGGUUGUAAACUUCUUUUAUAGGGGAAUAAAGUUCUGUAUGUAUACUGCUUUGCAUGUACCCUAUGAAUAAGGAUCGGCUAACUCCGUGCCAGCAGCCGCGGUAAUACGGAGGAUGCGAGCGUUAUCCGGAUUUAUUGGGUUUAAAGGGAGCGUAGGUGGGUUGUUAAGUCAGUUGUGAAAGUUUGUGGCUCAACCGUAAAAUUGCCGUUGAUACUGGAAGCCUUGAGUACAGUAGAGGUAGGCGGAAUGCGUGGUGUAGCGGUGAAAUGCAUAGAUAUCACGCAGAACUCCGAUUGCGAAGGCAGCAUACCGGGGCAUAACUGACGCUGAAGCACGAAAGCGUGGGUAUCGAACAGGAUUAGAUACCCGAGUAGUC